UGUAUACACCGCCCGUCACACCAUGGAAGUUAGCCACGCCCGAAGUCGUUACUCCAACCCUUGUGGAGGAGGACGCCGAAGGUGGGGCUGAUGACUGGGGUGAAGUCGUAACAAGGUAGCCGUACCGGAAGGUGCGGCUGGAUCACCUCCUAACAGGGAGACAUAUGAGAUAUUGAUGUCUGAGCCAUUUUGAGCUUAGGCCGAUAUCCUGUCAUCUCGAAGGUCGAUCGGUACCUCAGGGAUGAUCCAUGAAAUGACAACAUUUUUGAUCUCAUAAUCAUGGAACAUUUUUCAGUUUCUCAACUUCUGUCUAGGUCACCCCAAAGGUGCGCGAUGUGACAAGGAGAUGAGUGUUGUUGCCUUCAUUGAAGGCAUCAGUACAACCAUGCUUCUUGUCCCAUAGCGAAGCUGAGGAAGGACGCUCCUGGGCCAUUAGCUCAGGUGGUUAGAGCGCACCCCUGAUAAGGGUGAGGUCCCUGGUUCAAGUCCAGGAUGGCCCAUUCGUGUUUGGGGGUUUAGCUCAGUUGGUAGAGCGCCUGCUUUGCAAGCAGGAUGUCAGCGGUUCGAGUCCGCUAACCUCCAUCAACACCAUGGCUCAGAUGACCUCUGAACCACAGGAGCGGAUUCUGUGGGGCGAUCUGGACGCAUGUACUGGUGAAGAACGAAGAGUUCAGCAUCCUUUCAUUCCCCAUCCAUCAAUGGAUUGAUCCACAGGGGUUGAAAAGACGCUGGAUUCAACAGUUGUUUUGACGAUUGGUCAAGGCAACUGAUGAUUCAGCAGAACCUUGACAACUGCAUAGGUGAGUCUGGAAAGAAAGCAUCUCAUGGAUGUCCAGGAGCGAAAGCAACUGGAAAAAAUUCUUGAGUUUAAGAGCCGAGCAUCCGUUAUCAGAAGUGUGAUGAGCACGGUGAGAACGGAUGAUCAAAUGGUCAAGCUACAAAGGGCUCACGGUGGAUACCUAGGCACACAGAGA
rnacentral:misc_RNA from 1 species